rnacentral:rRNA from 1 species
CACGGAGUUAGCCGAUCCUUAUUCUUACAGUACCGUCAAGUCCCGACUCGUCGGGAUGUUUCUUCCUGUACAAAAGCAGUUUACACACCAUAGAUGCGUCAUCCUGCACGCGGCAUGGCUGGUUCAGGCUUGCGCCCAUUGACCAAUAUUCCUCACUGCUGCCUCCCGUAGGAGUCUGGUCCGUGUCUCAGUACCAGUGUGGGGGAUCUCCCUCUCAGGACCCCUACCCAUCAUCGUCUUGGUAAGCCGUUACCUUACCAACUAACUAAUGGGACGCAUGCUCAUCUUAUACCAAUAAAUCUUUAUAAUUAAAAAGAUGCCUUUUUAUUAUCUAUAAGGUAUUAAUCCAAAUUUCUCUGGGCUAUCCCUUAGUAUAAGGUAGAUUGCAUACGCGUUACGCACCCGUGCGCCGGUCUCAUUGUCCGAAGACAACUACCCCUCGACUUGCAUGUGUUAGGCCUGCCGCUAGCGUUCAUCCUGAGCCAGGAUCAAACUCU